rnacentral:rRNA from 1 species
GCGGAGGAAAAGAAACUAACAAGGAUUCCCCUAGUAACUGCGAGUGAAGCGGGAAAAGCUCAAAUUUAAAAUCUGGUAGUCUUUGGCUGCCCGAAUUGUAGUCUAGAGAAGUGUCUUCCGCGCCAGCCCGUGUACAAGUCUCUUGGAACAGAGCGUCAUAGAGGGUGAGAAUCCCGUCCAUGACACGGACUACUGGUGCUUUGUGAUGCGCUCUCAAAGAGUCGAGUUGUUUGGGAAUGCAGCUCAAAAUGGGUGGUAAAUUCCAUCUAAAGCUAAAUAUUGGCGAGAGACCGAUAGCGAACAAGUACCGUGAGGGAAAGAUGAAAAGCACUUUGGAAAGAGAGUUAAACAGUACGUGAAAUUGCUGAAAGGGAACCGCUUGAAGUCAGUCGCGUCGUCUAGAACUCAACCUGGCUUUUGCUUGGUGCACUUUCUAGUUGACGGGCCAACAUCAGUUUUGAUCGCUGGAAAAAAGCCUUUGGAAUGUGGCACCUUCGGGUGUGUUAUAGCCUUGGGUUGUAUACAGUGGUUGGGACUGAGGACCGCAGCACGCCUUUUGGCCGGGGUUCGCCCACGUACGUGCUUAGGAUGUUGGCGUAAUGGCUUUAAGCGACCCGUCUUGAAACACGGACCAAGGAGUCUAACAUACCUGCAAGUGUUUGGGUAGCAAACCCGAGCGCGCAAUGAAAGUGAAAGUUGGGAUCCCUGUCGUGGGGAGCACCGACGCCCAUACCAGACCUUCUGUGACGGCUAUGCGGUUGAGCAUGUAUGUUGGGACCCGAAAGAUGGUGAACUAUGCCUGAAUAGGGUGAAGCCAGAGGAAACUCUGGUGGAAGCUCGUAGCGAUUCUGACGUGCAAAUCGAUCGUCAAAUUUGGGUAUAGGGGCGAAAGACUAAUUCCGAAC